UGACAAUAAAAUAUGGGAUAGAAAAGCAAGAAACAAUUUCACAACCAAUCACUUACACAAACCAACGGAGUUAUAGACGAAGGCCUAUAGCCAAAAGUCUACAAAACACCGGCUCUUAAAAAUGAACUGUCAUAUGACCUACAAAUCGGACACGCUCUCCAAUCCUUAUGGCUUCACCUCUGCAACUCCUCAAAGCCAACCAAAGCUAUCUGGCCGCUCCGUCCACCGAGGACCUGAAAUUUUAAUCCCACAACCGAGAUGAGACGAUGUCUCAGCAAGUUCAACCCCCUAAACCCUUAUUAGAAAGAAAAUACGCCCCGGGUGGCCUAGCCACAUCACACAAAAGACUUACCUCGCCUCAGCCUUCAUCUGCAGGUUAGCACAAUUUAUAUAAUUCAACCACGUGCAAUUAUGAUAACCAAACAACUGCGGCACAAUCACAUCAUCAGAACAAUUUAACUACUUGGAUCGUCUCAUCGAUCAAUCGACUUGGCCGAUUACAUGUCAUUCUAGCAAAUCAAUCAUUGAUCUCAAUCACGGCCUUACUCGGCCAAUUUUAGAAUCAGUGGCAUCACGGCCCCACUGGGCGCGACCUUUAUCAGGUGGCAAUUCACGGCCCCACUGGGCGCGACCUUUAUCAGGUGGCAUAUCACGGCCCCACUGAGCACGACCUCUAAUAGGUGGCAUAUCACGGCCCCACUGGGCGCGACCUUUAUCAGGUGGCAAUUUACGACCCCACUGGGUGUGACCUCUAAUAGGUGGCAUAUCACGGCCCCAUUGGGCGCGACCUCUAAUAUGUGGCAUAUCACGGCCCCAUUGGGCGCGACCUCUAAUAUGUGGCAUAUCACGUCCAAUCUCCCAUCAGCUUCUACACUUAGGAUUUUAUAAAGAAUCCCUAUGUAUCACAAUCACACUCCAUUUGCCACAAUCAAUCAUCAAAUUCAAAUUCUAAAUACAUAGCAACGAUCAGCACGAAAUUCUAAGAAUUUGGGGUCCUAAAAUAAUUUUUCGAAAUUUAUUAAAUAAUUAAAUUUAUUCUGAAAAUUAAUAUAUUAAUAAUAUCCAUAUUUUUCACGAUCCAUGCUCAAUUUAUAAUAUCCAAUCAUCAAUUUCAAAAUCCGACUACACAGUAGCGAUCGGCACGAAAUUCUGAGCAACCGGGGUCAAAAUAUUUUUUUCUUUUUUUAUAAUUAAUAAUAUUUUAAUAAUUUCGGAAUAUAAUAUAAUAUUAUAAAUUCCAGAAUUCGAAAUCACUAAAUAAUUCAAAAAUAAAACCCUAUUAUGUCACAUCAAAGCUUUAUAUUAAAAAUAAACAUACUUAACUUUAAACUAAACACACUUUAACUUAAUUAAACACCAUAAUCUAAUCAUCAACCAAAUAAACUAAUUUAACCACCUAAGCUUACUUAACUUAGGCUAAGCACACUUAGGGCAUCAUUAACCGUCUAAUCAAGGUUUAGUGAGUUAAACUCACCAUAUUAGCGAGCCGAGCGGACCAAAACGACGGGGACGACGAGGGGAUCGACUUUCCUCAAAGCGGGCCGAGCAUCCGGGCUUGGGAAGGCGGCCAAAACGGGCCACGAGCGGGCUGCAAUACCCAUUUUUCCAGCCACUGAUUUGGGGCCGAGAAGGGCGGAUCCGGCGCCGGUUCGGGCAGAGGAACGGCGGAGGAGACCGGCGAGGGCUUGGACGGCCGGUGGGGAGGUCAACGGCGGCUCACGGCGGCGGGGACGAGCUCCAGCAGCUCGGGACGACGGACGAUGGCUGCUGGCGCGCGGACGAAGCAGGGAUGACACGGCUGGAGACUCGGG
rnacentral:lncRNA from 1 species